rnacentral:sRNA from 1 species
UGUACGAGCCCCGGCCGGAACAGCGGCAGAU